AAUAAACCAAUUUUUCACUUUUUACCUAUAAUUUUUAACUAUUUGUCUUAUUCAAUUUUUUUACGAUUGAUAUUUUUGUUUUUAUUAGAUGAUAAAUCAUGAAUAGUAUUUUACGUGUGACUAAUUUUUUUCUAAUUUUCUAAAAAAAUUUUAAAUAAGACAGAUAGUCAAACGUUGGAUACGGAAACCGGAG
rnacentral:pre_miRNA from 1 species